rnacentral:lncRNA from 1 species
GGCAGUGGUGAGGAGCUUACAAUCCAAGAUGAUUGGGGGAGCUCUGACACUACUGUUAAUAGUUCAGUUCAGAUGACUUCACCACCACCAAAAACAACACCACAAACACCGCCAACACCACCACCACCACAAACACCGAGAGCAACACCUCAAGUUCAACCACCAACACCAACACCAACACCUCAAGUUCAACCACCAACACCAACACCUCAAGUUCAACCACCAACACCAACACCUCAAGUUCAACCUCGAACACCAACACCAGCACCACCCCCACCCCCACCCCCACCUCCAAGAGGGUGGUUCAAUUUCAAUUUCGGUGGAUGGUUCAAUUUCAAUGUCGC